rnacentral:lncRNA from 1 species
AUGCACAACAGAAGGACAACGGCCUUAUUUUUAUCCCUUCCCCAUUGGCAGAAGGCUCAUAUUUCAGCAAGUAUAUUUAGUGCAGAGAUUUCAGAGCUGAAAAAGCCAGGGAAAUGUCAGCAUAGGAGGCCCCACAAGCUAAAGGGGAGACACACCAUGCAGACAUCAAUUGGACAAAGCUACAAGGAGAAAAUCGAGGCUCUAUAUGGUCAUUUUUCCUCUGUGAGCAACCCCAUUGCUCCCUUGUCCAAGCAGAACCGGAGGGCUGCAGGAGCCGUGUCCAGCAGCAGGAAAGCAAACCCACCAUUGCUGGAGCAAGGCUGCUCUCUGGUGGGGAAUCCUACACAGGUGCAUGCUGAUGCCUUUCCAAGUGAGGUUUUUUUGCAGCAUGAAGCUUCCACUUGCCCAUGUCUGGUUCCCUUUCCCUGUCCAGAAAGCCGCCCUGCCACUUUAACCGCAGUCAAGCCAACAGCCUGUAUAUCCUCUGCUCCAUAUACCUGAAAUGUGUCCGCUGUAGAAACAGUCCAGGAUUUUCCUGGCAAUAGUAGAUGUCAAAGGAAGAAGUUUCAGAGCCUGCAAAUAUUCUGAGGUGACUGCUGCUGAAUUCAUUUUUUCCAUAAUGUCUGUCCCACAUCCCUUCCCUGGCACCUGCACCUGAAAUCCUACCACAGAUCUAUAGUGCCUUUUACAAACUCAGAUGGCCAUGGUAUGCCCCUGAUUUUCCCAUUUUCUCUCACAGACCAUGAACUCAGCCACGUACUUUGAACCUCCUGAUGUUCUCCAGCAUUUCUUUGCUGCCUUUCUCCCUCAGUGUGUUCUCUGCAUGCUCAUGUGAUGCUUUUCCCUCACACCAUAAUACCUUUCCUACUGGGGCUUCUCUGGAGAGGAGAUAACCCUUGUCUCUCCAACGUUCACUUUGUGCCACCUGCUGGCCCCAAGUCUUCGGUCUUCAGAGAACACCACAAGAUCCUCCCCUUCAAAGUACCUCAGGAAAGGAAAAAAGAAAAUCUUUCCAGAAAGUAAGGGCCUUGGCAAGGCUGAUCACCAUGGGAGACUUCAUGAAAAGGCCUUGGCUCCUACUGCUCAGCUGGCAUUCAACACGUCAUGGUCCCUCGCUGGAGUCUGAUGGGUCUGAUAACAAGCACAGAGCAUGGAAGCGUGCUGGGAUCUCCCCUAUUUUUGCCAUCUCUGUGAAUGGCUUUUCCUGUCCAAGGCUGCAGCUGCCUGCAAUAGUGAAGUUAAGGCCCUGGAAAGACAACUGCUGCUGUGCCCUGCGGAAGCCCAGCCACAUCCCUGUGUUCAAGUCCCCAGCCCAGCAAGAGCUGGUUGCUCCCUUGUAGCAGUACAAGUUUAUCAGCUAGAGGGUGUGAAUGCAAGAAGAAAAACAUCUGAUGCUAAAACAAGGACCUAAGAGAUCCAUGGUCAGACAUACGGGAGACACCAGUAUCUUACUUACCUCUGUCAUUGAUCCUUUUUGCAGUCACAAAGGGGAAUGAACAAG